GAAAGAUCUCCCAUGCUCAUGGAUUGGCAGGAUUAAUUUAGUAAAAAUGGCCAUUUUACCAAAAGCAAUGUACAGAUUCAAUGCAAUCCCCAUCAAAAUACCAAUCCAAUUCUUCAAAGAGUUAGACAGAACAAUUUGCAAAUUCAUCUGGAACAACAAAAAACCCAGGAUAGCUAAAGCUAUCCUCAACAAUAAAAGGACUUCAGGGGGAAUCACUAUCCCUGAACUCAAGCAGUAUUACAGAGCAAUAGUGAUAAAAACUGCAUGGUAUUGGUACAGAGACAGACAGAUAGACCAAUGGAAUAGAAUUGAAGACCCAGAAAUG
rnacentral:lncRNA from 1 species